rnacentral:rRNA from 1 species
GACGAACGCUGGCGGCGUGCUUAACACAUGCAAGUCGAACGAAGAAGCGCCUUCCUUUUUGGUGGGUGUGGAUGAGUGGCCAACGGGUGAGUAAGACGGUAGUAACCUGCCCCCUUCUGCUUGAUAACCGCAUGCAGGUGUUGCUAAUACGGGAUAUUCUGGGCCUGUUGCUUGGUGGGUCUGGGAAAGCUUUUGUUUCGGUGGGAGAUGGGCUCGCGGCCUAUCAGCUUGUUGGUGGGGUGAUGGCCUACCAAGGCGGUGACGGGUAGCCGGCCUGAGAGGGUGGGCCGUAAUACUGGGACGGAGAGACGGCGCAUACUCCGAGGGGCGGCAGCAGGGGGUAAUACGGCAUGAGGGGCGGAAGGAUGAUGCAGCGACGCCGCGGGGGUGAUGGAGGUCGGCGCGUUGUGAACUGCUUUCGGGAGUGAAGCAGGGUUUCCGCGUUUGUGGGUGGGUUGACGGUAGCUGGAUAAGAAGCGCCGGCUAACUACGUG